rnacentral:rRNA from 1 species
AACGAACGCUGGCGGCAGGCCUAACACAUGCAAGUCGAGCGCACCCUUCGGGGCGAGCGGCGGACGGGUUAGUAACGCGUGGGAACGUGCCCUUCUCUACGGAAUAGCCUUUGGAAACGAAGAGUAAUACCGUAUACGCCCUUCGGGGGAAAGAUUUAUCGGAGAAGGAUCGGCCCGCGUUAGAUUAGAUAGUUGGUGGGGUAACGGCCUACCAAGUCUACGAUCUAUAGCUGGUUUUAGAGGAUGAUCAGCAACACUGGGACUGAGACACGGCCCAGACUCCUACGGGAGGCAGCAGUGGGGAAUCUUAGACAAUGGGCGAAAGCCUGAUCUAGCCAUGCCGCGUGAGUGAUGAAGGCCUUAGGGUCGUAAAGCUCUUUCGCCAGGGAUGAUAAUGACAGUACCUGGUAAAGAAACCCCGGCUAACUCCGUGCCAGCAGCCGCGGUAAUACGGAGGGGGUUAGCGUUGUUCGGAAUUACUGGGCGUAAAGCGCGCGUAGGCGGAUCAGAAAGUUGGGGGUGAAAUCCCGAGGCUCAACCUCGGAACUGCCUCCAAAACUCCCAGUCUAGAGUUCGAGAGAGGUGAGUGGAAUUCCAAGUGUAGAGGUGAAAUUCGUAGAUAUUUGGAGGAACACCAGUGGCGAAGGCGGCUCACUGGCUCGAUACUGACGCUGAGGUGCGAAAGUGUGGGGAGCAAACAGGAUUAGAUACCCUGGUAGUCCACACCGUAAACGAUGAAUGCCAGUCGUCGGGCAGUAUACUGUUCGGUGACACACCUAACGGAUUAAGCAUUCCGCCUGGGGAGUACGGUCGCAAGAUUA